UACAGAGGUCCCGAGCGUUGUUCGGAUUCACUGGGCGUAAAGGGUGCGUAGGCGGUCGGGUAAGUCUGACGUGAAAUCUUCAAGCUUAACUUGGAAACUGCGUCGGAUACUAUUCGGCUCGAGGAAUGGAGGGGAGACUGGAAUACUUGGUGUAGCAGUGAAAUGCGUAGAUAUCAAGUGGAACACCAGUGGCGAAGGCGAGUCUCUGGACAUUUCCUGACGCUGAGGCACGAAAGCCAGGGGAGCAAACGGG
rnacentral:rRNA from 1 species